AAACCAUGAUGUGGACAUUCCCUAAUGUAGCCUUUAUAACGAUCCCAAGCUUCAUGAAAAGGUUCGCCUCCUUUUUGUUGGAACCUAAAGAAGUUUGAUCUAGAGGU
rnacentral:snoRNA from 1 species